rfam:Brucella melitensis biovar Abortus 2308 chromosome I, complete sequence, strain 2308
GCGAGGGUUCCUUUGAACGGUUCUUAAUUCCAGGCUGUCAUAUGCACCUGCCACCGCUUUUCGUCAAGAAACAGAAACCGCAACAGGGUGUCGCAGUAAUAAUCUUUCAGAAAGCGGGCAGUUUUAUGCCUGAUAUUACACCACGCUUUCGGUUUGGAAAAUAAAAAAGGCGGCCAGAGGCCGCCUUUUGA